rnacentral:sRNA from 1 species
GCUAGGCAUGGUGGUGCACGCCUGUAAUCCCAGCAAAGCAGGAGACUGAGGCAGGAGGAUUGCAAGUUAAGCCAGCUUCAGAACUUAGUGAGGGCUUAAGAAACUUAGUGAAACCCUGUCUCAA